GAUCUUUUAACUGAACUUCCCAAUAAAUGUGAAAGAAGUUAUAACACAGAAAACAGCCAUUUUAAAUUCUCAAUGAAAUAAUUAACUUUGACAAGGAUCCUCAGUCCUUGUCAAAAUAAUUGUGGGGAAAGUUUGUGGGGAAAGGAGGUCUAGAGGUCCAGAGAUUCAUACCAACCAUUACCUGUCCACCCCCCACCUACCCCUAUGUUUUCAUUUUAGACCAGUGCUUGUUAAUCCUCCCUGAACAGCUGAAGAGCAUUUAUUUUAUUUAUUUGUUUUUUCCACCUUUAUUUUAGUUUCACGGUGUACGUGUGCAGGUUUGUUACAUGGACAAAUUACAUGUUGUUGAGGCUUGCAUCACCCAAGUAGUAACUAAUGCUUCUUAUUAAUCAAGGGAAAGGCGUACCUUGGUAAUGGAGUGUUUUCACAGAAACCACCUGAAUCAAGUAAUUCAUUUUGGGAAAAUGACAAUAUUUACUGAUUUAACCAUGGAAUGGAUAUUAAAAACACAAGUUCUA
rnacentral:lncRNA from 10 species